rnacentral:lncRNA from 1 species
CUUCAGUUUUCUUCCCUGACAUAGAGGUUGGCCUGGGUCACCUUUGGGAUCCCCUCUUUUUUUAGACAGCUUUCUUCUGGGCAGACAUGAAAAUUUAGUAAGAGUUAGCACGUGCCAUGUGCCAGGCACUAUUCUAGGAGCUUUCCUUGUAGUAGCUCAUGUCAUCUUCACUACCGCCCCGUGAAGUAGACACUGAUAUGAGCCCUACUUAGAAGAAGAAGCUGAGGCCUGGAGAGGCGCAAGGUCAUUCAGGGGAGCCUGGACAAGCGGGUACUGCCCUCCCUUCUGCAGAGGAAGAAUUCAGGCUUCCAGCAGCCAAGGGCUUGCUUGCGUGCGGCUGUGUCAGGACUGCAAUUCAAGCCCCUAGUUUCUUGUUCAGGGCUUUCUUCACUCCACGAAGACCAUCAUUCUAACAUCCUACAAAUGUCCGGUGCAAAUGUCUGUGUGAAAUAUAUGCUCUUUUCUGUCUGUUUACUUCAGACUCUGGGGAGAGAUCGGAGAGACAUUAGUAACUUCUUUUUUCUUUCCUCAAGUCCCUGUGACGAAAUGACUGUUUCUGCAGUGCUUGUUUUCUGGGCCCUGGAAAGAUUCCAAAGCUGUCACUGUGUUUUCCAUCUGGCACUUUUUCAAGAAUCUCUCUGCUGCUUCCUGCAGCCUGGAGGUCGUCCUGCAGAGGCCCCUCUACCACCCCUGACAGGCUGGUGGGGCAGGACAUAGGCAUCACGGAGCUGUGCAAUAGGCAGGAACAGCUUGACGAGGGGGCGGGCGCCCCAUUGCGUGCAAACUCACUCCAAGACGGGGAAGCGGCCCCCAGAGACAUGGUUUUCAAAAGUAGAAAACUACCUGCUAAUUUGUUACGGAAACUUUAAGUAUUGAAUGAAUCUAGUGAUUUUUUAAAAUAUAAUUCAACCUAUGGGAAAAAAUCCAGCUUGACUUUCUUGAAACACUCACGGGUCACACUAUUUGGAAAGCAACACUGAAAAGAAACUUUGGAACUUCCAAGGGAAUGUGGAUGGUGAGUGAGCCUCUGCAUUACAGAGUUUGAGCCGUCCCACCUCCCCAAGAACGCUCAGGACCUCAAAGACCCAGCCAGAAAAGACCAAAGAGAUGAUGGAAGUCACAGCUUUGCAGAAACUUCAGAAAAUUUGUGUUUACAAAAGGGUUUGCAAUAAAAGCUGCUGCUCACGUUUUCCUUCUGAAAUAGGUCAAGGAAGUGAAACUCUGGAAGGUAACUCACAGGUGCAGGAUUCCUCUGGACCUGUAAGAAGCUGACGGGCAUUGUGGCCACCGUACGAUGGCGUAGGGGACCUGGCAUUUCCCAGAUUUCUUCAGGUAUGCGAUACUUCCUGCUCAUUCAGCCAAUGUGGUAAAUACCAUCUGACCAAUAGCAAAGGGAAAAAGAGUACACAGCAGCUUCUUCUCUAGCUCAUCGGGAGGAAAAGAGCAAAGAGGAAGGAAAAGAAAGAGCAUGGCCUGGUCCAAAUUUUGGGACAGUUACAUUAAACAAAAGGAUCAGAAAAUGGAAAUGUAUUCCUUUGAAAUGACUGUAAUCGGCUGAAUGUUGAGGCUGGGAGCAGAGUAAUGAUGGAGAACAAGGUGGAUGAGAGUGUUAAUUUUCUCUGAUGAUGAAGGGUAUAUGGUCACACUUACAAGAGGAGAUGCAGACAUCACAGAGGAGCUGAUUUUCAAGAGACCCACUCUGCUUGCUGGGGUCCAUUUUCCGGAUGGUUGGUUGGCAUGGAGGAGGCAGGAAUCACAGUGAGCCCACGUCCUCUCCAAGGCAGGCACGCAGGAGACGUGUGAUCCAAGCAAAGCCAGCAAAGUUUGAAGUACGUAAUAAUAAAACUGAAAGUGAUCAAGAGAAUUUGUUGGCUACAGAUAUAUUCUGACUUCAGGAUAAUUUCAGUUCCACUGUUUGGUAAUAUCACCAGGAAUUGUUUUAUCUUAGACUUUGGGCUGCCUUGCUCUCGUAUUUUGACUGCUUCUUAAAAUGCCCCUCCACGUCCCAAGAUAACUACCAGCACCUUCUGGAAUUCAUGCAGCCUCAUUCAUUAUAAACAGAAAAGACUAUCUUUGUCCCCAAGUAGGGAAAACAUUGCUUCACCAAACAUAUGUUAAGAUCUUAUUCUUUGCCAAGUACUAGUGACGCAGAAAUGAGUCAGACGUGAUUGCUUAAAUGGGAAAGCUCGGAGUCAUCAUCUGGACAUCCACAAUAUUCCUAUUUCCUUCUGCGUAAAGAUUGUUUUUAAAAAUGCUCGUAUUCUGCGAUUUAUGAAGUGUGUUGAUGAGGUAUGUUUAUGAGGUGUGUUGAGUAACUGAUGUAGAACCGGCCCCCGUCCUUCCUUACCUGGGCUCCUACGUCCACGAACAUGAGAUGUCACACUUUUCUUUAGUCAUUCUCCCUGCUUUGAAAACCCUUUCCUUCCUUCUCCACCAGGCCGAGUUUUAACGUUUCUUCAAAGCCCUCCAGGGCAUCUUUCUAGGGCGUAUCAAGAAAUGAGAUCCGCGGGCAAGUAAGUGACUGGGAC